rnacentral:rRNA from 1 species
AUUGAACGCUGGCGGCAGGCCUAACACAUGCAAGUCGAGCGGAUGAAGGGAGCUUGCUCCUGGAUUCAGCGGCGGACGGGUGAGUAAUGCCUAGGAAUCUGCCUGGUAGUGGGGGAUAACGUCCGGAAACGGGCGCUAAUACCGCAUACGUCCUGAGGGAGAAAGUGUGGGAUCUUCGGACCUCACGCUAUCAGAUGAGCCUAGGUCGGAUUAGCUAGUUGGUGGGGUAAAGGCCUACCAAGGCGACGAUCCGUAACUGGUCUGAGAGGAUGAUCAGUCACACUGGAACUGAGACACGGUCCAGACUCCUACGGGAGGCAGCAGUGGGGAAUAUUGGACAAUGGGCGAAAGCCUGAUCCAGCCAUGCCGCGUGUGUGAAGAAGGUCUUCGGAUUGUAAAGCACUUUAAGUUGGGAGGAAGGGCAGUAAGUUAAUACCUUGCUGUUUUGACGUUACCAAAAGAAUAAGCACCGGCUAACUUCGUG